CUGUCCCGUCAGCUGAUUUCACUUUCAUUUCUUCACUCGCCGGCGGCUCGUGACUUUCCAGAAAAGAGGGAUGUAAACAACGUUGUGGUUCGGCGCCCGUCCGCACGCCGGAGCCGAGGGCCGGCAAGAGUCAGCACUCAGAACCUCCAGCAUAAGCCUGAAUCGAAGGGGUAAGGGUGGCUACCCUGGCCUUGUUCCUGACCUUAUGAGGAAAACAGUCUUAUCAUUAGGUAUGCUGGGAGGAUAAGGCACAUUUUUUUUUCUUCACAUUUCAAAUUAUUGGUCUCUAAACAUUCCACAUAGUUGCUUUUUUAUGGUCAAUUGUAAAAGCCAGUCCAAAGAACUAAAUAAAAAAGCAGUUUACUGAAUAAGAUGAUCUAUUCUGCAGUCUCACGUGGGCAACAUGUAAUAAAGGAAAAGUUAAAAAUCUUAAAUGGUCUUACUUUAUCUGGACAAUUUUUGCUCAGCAUAAGUGGAAAGAUUCGUUGCUGUAAGUAUAAUGCUUUACAUCUGUCACUACCAUCACAGCCAUACAUGAAGAUGUUCUCUUUUCUACUAUGGCCAUGAAGGUCACAAUAUAAAAUAACCUCUCGUUUCUCCAUUAAUCUACCGAGAAAAAAAAAGAAUAAGUUACUAAAUGAGUUACUAAAUUUUACCUCUGCAUUUUUCUAUGGAUUUGUAAGUCUAAUAGCCAAAUAAACAAUUUAUGUCCUCA